rnacentral:rRNA from 1 species
UACGUAGGGCGCAAGCGUUGUCCGGAAUUAUUGGGCGUAAAGAGCUCGUAGGCGGUUUGUCGCGUCUGCUGUGAAAUCCCGAGGCUCAACCUCGGGCUUGCAGUGGGUACGGGCAGACUAGAGUGCGGUAGGGGAGACUGGAAUUCCUGGUGUAGCGGUGGAAUGCGCAGAUAUCAGGAGGAACACCGAUGGCGGAGGCAGGUCUCUGGGCCGCAACUGACGCUGAGGAGCGAAAGCAUGGGGAGCGAACAGG